UACGGGGGGAGCAAGCGUUGUUCGGAUUUACUGGGCGUAAAGGGCGCGUAGGCGGCCAGCGCAAGUCAGUUGUGAAAUCUCCGGGCUUAACUCGGAAAGGUCAACUGAUACUGCGCGGCUAGAGUGCAGAAGGGGCAACUGGAAUUCUCGGUGUAGCGGUGAAAUGCGUAGAUAUCGAGAGGAACACCUGCGGCGAAGACGGGUUGCUGGGCUGACACUGACGCUGAUGCGCGAAAGCCAGGGGAGCGAACGGG
rnacentral:rRNA from 1 species